GUGUCAGCAGCCGCGGUAAUACGGGGGGUGCAAGCGUUGUUCGGAAUUAUUGGGCGUAAAGCGCGUGUAGGCGGUCUGAUUAGUCUGAUGUGAAAGCCCUGGGCUCAACCCAGGAAGUGCAUUGGAUACUGUCAGACUUGAAUACGGGAGAGGGUAGUGGAAUUCCUAGUGUAGGAGUGAAAUCCGUAGAUAUUAGGAGGAACACCGGUGGCGAAGGCGGCUACCUGGACCGAUAUUGACGCUGAGACGCGAAAGCGUGGGUAGCAAACAGGAUUAGAAACCCCCGUAGUCC
rnacentral:rRNA from 1 species